UGUGCUUCUCGGCCUUUUGGCUAAGAUCAAGUGUAGUAUCUGUUCUUAUCAGUUUAAUAUCUGAUACGUCCUCGAUGAGAGGACUUUAUAUUAAACGGAUUUUUGGGCUCGGGAGUUGGAUCCGGAGCUUGCUCUUUAUCUUCAUCUUUUUCCACAAGGAAAUGGUUG
ensembl:snRNA U2 U2 spliceosomal RNA